GGAUGUGAGGGCCAGCUGACUGGCACACCAGUCACCCUAGUGAUCAUCAAAGUUGACCUGGCUGACAAGGCAGGUGACCACUUCCGUCCCACCACUCCAUGUGUGUGCCUUCUUUUCUGCUUUUGCACACUCUUGGUUCCCCAGGCCCCAAGCUCUCUUUCCUCUGAGGGAC
rnacentral:snRNA from 1 species